GUAUUACUCCAUUUUCACACUGCUGAUAAAGACAUACCUAAGACUGGGCAAUUUACAAAAGAAAGAGGAUUAUUGGACUUACAGUUCCACAUGGCUGGGAAGGCUUCACAAUCAAGGCGGAAGGCAAGGAGGAGCAAGUCACAUCUUACAUGGAUGGCAGUUGGCAAUAAAAGAGCUUGUGCAGGGCAACUCCACUUUUAAAACAAGCAGAUCUCAUAAGACCCAUUCACUAUCAUGAGAACAGCAUGAGAAAGAUCUGUCCCCAUAAUUCAAUCAUCUCCCACCAGGUUCCUCCCACAAAAGGUGGGAAUUAUGGGAGCUACAAGAUGAGAUUUUGGUGGGGACACAGAGCCAAACCAUAUCACCAGAGUGAAAAACAGAGUUGAUCCCAUGCUUCAUUUCACAGCUGCCUAGCUACAGUGAGUGAUAUAUGUUUCUAACACAAUGGAUGGUGGCUUAGGAAGAGGAUCCAAUAAAAUCUAUGUUGGAGCCAAGAAUAAAAUCCAAGGAAAAUGC
ensembl:lncRNA novel transcript